UUCUUUUGGUACAUGCCUGAUGUUCCAGAUGGUCUGUGAGGCAGGGUCCUUGUCUUGUCCUCUGCUGAUCCCGAGUCCACACAGCAUCUUGCAUGGAGCAGGUGACCCCCUGGAGCGUGUGUGGAUCCAGCCACCUCCUCUUCUAGGGCAGCUCAGCCUCCCAGAGCGCCAUCCUCAACAUGGCCAGAAGAUGGCACCAAGGCUUCUGUCAGCGCCACCUGGCAGCAAGAGGCUUCACCGGGGGGGCCAGAGAAGAUGGCCAUCAGGAA
rnacentral:lncRNA from 1 species